GAAAUAGUACAAUAAUAAUGACAUAGGUCAAUCAAUAAUACAACACAUGAUUUUUAAAGUAGAAUUUGAAACUCAUACUAAUCAAAAUAUAAUAAAACAACAUAUGGUUCAAACCAUAAUAAAACAUCACAUGGUUCUUAAAACAUAAGCUAAACUGAACAAAUGAUAAAUAGAGUUAAUCAUGUUGGUCGAUGAUUCCAACAUUCAAAAUUUCUGGUGGAUCUAAAAGAGUAAUCCUAAGCCUGGAAUCAAUGUUGAUAUUAGCUUGUUUGAUAAAUGCAAUCCACCCUUGACUUAUAUACUUCUCAUUCAUAUUCCUUGGUGAUGUAUGAAUCAUGCAAUUCACAGAAAUGCGACGCA
rnacentral:lncRNA from 1 species